CGAACGCUGGCGGCGUGGAUAAGACAUGCAAGCCGAACGGGAUCAUUGAUGUAGCAAUACAGCGAUGGUCCAGUGGCGAACGGGUGCGUAACACGUGGACACAUUCCGGGAAGCGGGGGAUAGCCCAGGGAAACUUGGAUUAAUACCGCAUGUGAUCGAGAGAUCAAAGACGGGGACCGCAAGGCCUGUCACUUCCCGAUUGGUCCGCGGCCUAUCAGCUAGUUGGCGGGGUAAAAGCCCACCAAGGCGACGACGGGUAGCUGGUCUGAGAGGACGACCAGCCACACUGGAACUGAGACACGGUCCAGACUCCUACGGGAGGCAGCGGUGGGGAAUUUUGGACAAUGGGCGAAAGCCUGAUCCAGCCAUGUCGCGUGCAGGAUGACGGCCCUACGGGUUGUAAACUGCUUUUGUACGGGAAGAAAAAGGUUACGUGUAAUCAUUGCCGGUACCGCACGAAUAAGGAUCGGCUAACUCCGUGCCAGCAG
rnacentral:rRNA from 1 species